AUUGAACGCUGGCGGCAGGCCUAACACAUGCAAGUCGAGCGGAUGAAGGGAGCUUGCUCCUGGAUUCAGCGGCGGACGGGUGAGUAAUGCCUAGGAAUCUGCCUGGUAGUGGGGGAUAACGUCCGGAAACGGGCGCUAAUACCGCAUACGUCCUGAGGGAGAAAGUGGGGGAUCUUCGGACCUCACGCUAUCAGAUGAGCCUAGGUCGGAUUAGCUAGUUGGUGGGGUAGAGGCCUACCAAGGCGACGAUCUGUAACUGGUCUGAGAGGAUGAUCAGUCACUGGAACUGAGACACGGUCCAGACUCCUACGGGAGGCAGCAGUGGGGAAUAUUGGACAAUGGGCGAAAGCCUGAUCCAGCCAUGCCGCGUGUGUGAAGAAGGUCUUCGGAUUGUAAAGCACUUUAAGUUGGGAGGAAGGGCAGUAAGUUAAUACCUUGCUGUUUUGACGUUACCAACAGAAUAAGCACCGGCUAACUUCGUG
rnacentral:rRNA from 1 species